rnacentral:rRNA from 1 species
ACGAACGCUGGCGGCACGCUUAACACAUGCAAGUCGAACGAGAGAAGAGGAGCUUGCUUUUCUGAUCUAGUGGCGGACGGGUGAGUAACACGUGAGCAAUCUGCCUUUCAGAGGGGGAUACCGAUUGGAAACGAUCGUUAAUACCGCAUAACAUAAUUGAACCGCAUGAUUUGAUUAUCAAAGAUUUAUCGCUGAAAGAUGAGCUCGCGUCUGAUUAGCUAGUUGGUAAGGUAACGGCUUACCAAGGCGACGAUCAGUAGCCGGACUGAGAGGUUGAUCGGCCACAUUGGGACUGAGACACGGCCCAGACUCCUACGGGAGGCAGCAGUGGGGAAUAUUGCACAAUGGAGGAAACUCUGAUGCAGCGAUGCCGCGUGAGGGAAGAAGGUUUUAGGAUUGUAAACCUCUGUCUUCAGGGACGAAAAAAGACGGUACCUGAGGAGGAAGCUCCGGCUAACUACGUGCCAGCAGCCGCGGUAAUACGUAGGGAGCGAGCGUUGUCCGGAAUUACUGGGUGUAAAGGGAGCGUAGGCGGGAUCGCAAGUCAGAUGUGAAAACUAUGGGCUUAACCCAUAAACUGCAUUUGAAACUGUGGUUCUUGAGUGAAGUAGAGGUAAGCGGAAUUCCUAGUGUAGCGGUGAAAUGCGUAGAUAUUAGGAGGAACAUCAGUGGCGAAGGCGGCUUACUGGGCUUUAACUGACGCUGAGGCUCGAAAGCGUGGGGAGCAAACAGGAUUAGAUACCCUGGUGGUCCACGCCGUAAACGAUGAUUACUAGGUGUGGGGGGACUGACCCCUUCCGUGCCGCAGCAAACGCAAUAAGUAAUCCACCUGGGGAGUACGACCGCAAGGUUGAAACUCAAAGGAAUUGACGGGGGCCCGCACAAGCAGUGGAGUAUGUGGAUUAAUUCGAAGCAACGCGAAGAACCUUACCAGGUCUUGACAUCGUAUGCAUAGCUCAGAGAUGAGUGAAAUCUCUUCGGAGACAUAUAGACAGGUGGUGCAUGGUUGUCGUCAGCUCGUGUCGUGAGAUGUUGGGUUAAGUCCCGCAACGAGCGCAACCCUUACUGUUAGUUGCUACGCAAGAGCACUCUAGCAGGACUGCCGUUGACAAAACGGAGGAAGGUGGGGAUGACGUCAAAUCAUCAUGCCCCUUAUGACCUGGGCCUCACACGUACUACAAUGGCUGUCAACAGAGGGAAGCAAAGCCGCGAGGUGGAGCAAACCCCUAAAAGCAGUCUUAGUUCGGAUUGUAGGCUGCAACCCGCCUACAUGAAGUCGGAAUUGCUAGUAAUCGCAGAUCAGCAUGCUGCGGUGAAUACGUUCCCGGGCCUUGUACACACCGCCCGUCACGCCAUGGGAGUCGGUAACACCCGAAGCCUGUAGUCUAACCGCAAGGAGGACGCAGUCGAAGGUGGGAUUGAUGACUGGGGUG